UCUUCCAUUCAUAGUCAGCGAAAGUGUCAAGUGUCCGCAUAAUUGAAUAUAGCGAAACUGUCAUCGGCACACUUUUCCCUCACGCGGCGAGAAGAACAAACCGUCGCCGCCCUGCAUGAGCAAAUUAUUUAUAAUUAUGAACCCUCUUCAUGCGUAUCCUUGACUUCUUCUCCAACUUUUACCGUAAUUACUGGGAUUAAGUGUACCGUAUUA
ensembl:ncRNA F58H1.26 ncRNA